CCUACGGGAGGCAGCAGUGGGGGAUAUUGCACAAUGGGCGGAAGCCUGAUGCAGCGACGCCGCGUGAGCGAUGGAGGGUUUCGGCGCGUAAAGCCCUGUCCGCAAGGAAGAAAAUGACGGUACGUGACCAAGAAGCCCCGGCUAACUACGUGCCAGCAGCCGCGGUAAUACGUGGGGGGCAGGCGUUAUCCGGAUUUACUGGGCGUAAAGGGGGCGUAGGCGGGUUAUUAAGUCAGCGGUAAAAGGCGGGGGCGCAACCGCGGUACGCCUUUGAAAAUGGCAGGCUUGAGUUCAGGAGAGGCAGGCGGAAUUCCUGGUGUAGCGGUGAAAUGCGUAGAUAUUAGGAGGAACACCAGUUGCGAAGGCGG
rnacentral:rRNA from 1 species